rnacentral:lncRNA from 1 species
UUUUUUUUUUUUUUGGUUAGUGUUUCUAUGAAGUUGUCUAAAUUUUUGUAAGUUUUAAAUACUUAAAUUGUGUAUAUUAUAAUCAUUGUCCUCUAUUAUAUGAUUUUGAACAGACCACAGCAAUAGAUACAGGGAGAAGUGGGCACUUCUGGUGGAGUUAAACAUUUUCUAAUAUCUACUAAGAUAUAAAAUGCAUACCCGACAUAUAGUUCAGCUAAACAAAUGAGUUAGGUUUAUAAAAAAAAAACAUGAUUCUUAAAAACUGCUCAGAUUUAACAUACCAGCUUUGGUAACUGCAUGCUGUUAGGAAAUUCUUUUUCUUUUUCCUUCAGUUUCAUUAUUAUUUGUUUCGGUUGCAUCUAUUAUUUGGUGUGUAGAAGUUGCUGGAUGGGAUGAGUUUGCAUCAGGAUGAGUAGUUAUUAUACAUUUUCUUCAUUCACCUUUGCAUUUCAUUUUAUUUUGUGGUGAGCAUGUUACUUUUAAAAAUUUAAGAAUUACAAUUCUAGGUUUUACAUGAUUAAGUAACUAUACUGCUAAAUUCUAUUUUUAUGUAUGUUGUAUUUACAAGAUACAUAUUUAUUCAAAUAAUUUUAAAAUCCAAUGUAUUGAGGUGCCUAGGUGGCUCAGUGGUUGAGCAUCUGCCUUUGGCUCAGGUUGUGAUCCUGGGGUCCUGGGAUCGAGUCCUGGUUCGGGCUCCCUGAAGGGAAUCUUCUUCUCCCUCUCCCUCUGCCUAUGUCUCUGCCACUUUCUCUGUAUCUCCCAUGAAUAAAUAAAUAUAUUUUUAAAUAUAAUGUAUUGUAGAUAAUUCUAUUGCUUUAUGGAAGUACUCCAUUGGAAUUAUUUAUCUUUAUGACCUAUUCAAUGUUAGAUAAAUCUUUCGGAAUAUUCAUUCAACAUUUCUUCUGAGAAUAGAAAGUAUAAUCAGUGCCUUAUGUUGGUCUGGCAUAGAUAAACAGUCAAGAUUUGGAUACCUAAUUCCACCAGGAGAAAGGAGAUGAUACGUUAAUAACUUGGUCAAAUAAAGGUAUGAGUAUGCCAAAGUCUUCAUCUGCCAAAAAUCCUUAUUGACCUUAUUUUCACUCUCUGACAGUAAUGACCAUCACUGUGUCCUUUUUUUCCCUAUGUAUUUUUUUUAUCUAUACAAAGAUAAGUCUUUGUGAAAUGUCAAUCAAGCUAACCUCCAUGAGAUUAUAUAUUUAUUAUAUAUGUUAUGUUUCUAUUACCUUCCUGUACAUCCCUGCAUCAGAUUGAUAAUUUUAGAAACUCUGCCUAAAGCCAAUGAAAGGCUUUCUAUCUUUUUGUAUGCAUGAUGACAUAAACUCUAAACUUUCCUAUAUGGCAACACGUAUUUUAUAUUACUGAGGUAUUCUUUUAAAUUUAUUCUCCUGGAAAAAUGCCUCAACCUUUCAUUAUCUCAUUAGAUUUCUAGUCAAAUCAAAUAGAUGCAUUUCAAGCAAUGCUUAAAAAGUACUACGUGCCAAAAAUAUGUCAGCUUUUUGCGAAGAGGAACAGAAUGAAUCCUGUUAUCCUCAGGUAAUAUAAUUCACAAAGUAAUGAAUUAUUAUUUUAGAUUUUGGCAUGCACAGAACACUCAAUUUGAAUUAAUGUAUCAAUAGGCUAAUAAUUUUGUGAAAUUUUAUAAAGAUUCAAAUCAAUUAAAAAAAUAAACCUAAGUCACAUCAAUAAGUGAAAGAGUUGUGUGCAAUCAACAGACAAGAAAUCUGGUUUAUGGUAUGAAAAAUAAAUUAUAAGGAAGGCUCUACAAUCAUUAAUUUUGUUUUUUUAAAUAAUCAUUUCUAUUAAAUUGUAAUAUCCUACCUUAUAAGUGUGUACCAGAAGAAUGUUGGCAAAUGUUCGACAACUUAUAAAUCCUGCAUAUGUUAAUUGAAUACAGAUCUAAAAAUUAUAGAGACAUUUUUCAUUGAGGACUACUUUCAGCAAUAUACUAAGCAGCUAAGUUAAUAAUCCCAUCAUUCUCAUGAGUUGAAAUACAGCAUUUUUUAUCCUGAGAGGCAGUGGCAAAUGAAUUAUCUUUAUAAUCUUUUCUAAAAUAGAGUUUGCAAUGUACUUGUUCAUAUCCAUUAGAAUUGUUUUUGGAACUUUUUUAAAAAAAUAAACCCCAAGCAUCAUCAUUUUAUAUUCCUCAUGAAUUAAAACCAGUCAACAAGUACUAGGAGCUGUAUUUUGAAUCCUUAGUAUUGGAGGUAUUUAUACAAUUAUGCUUUAAGUAGUAGUAUUAUUCUUAACUACAAAAAUAUUCUAUUUAGCCCCAUAGUCAUAGGUUCAAAGUACUCAAAUCUUGGCAGUAUCUCAGAAAUAUAACACUUGUGCAACCACACACACUAGCUUUUGACAUUUCUCAUCUCUCACUUACAAAAAUAUUGAAUUAUUUAGUGAACAAGAUGGUAUUAGCAUCUUUACACUUAUUAUUUUCACUUUGUAAUUCAACAAGAUCAGAAUGCUAAAUUUUGACUAACAGUUCUUUUUUUUUUUUGACUAACAGUUCUUUAAAUAAAAUUUUACUUCAUGCAUUUUUUGUUGCAUGCUUUAUUCACUACCAACACUGUUCCCAACGCUUUGUUAAAAAUCUAUAGAAUAGCAUGAAAAAGAAUUAUUAAUAGUACAAAAUUAAUUUUCAGUGGUAUAACAUUUCAAAAAUAAAGACAAAAUAAUGUAACUCAUCAUACACGCAUACACAGAAGAGCAGGGACAGCUUGCUGUAGGAUUAGAGAGCCUGUGGUGCCAUAAACAUAGGCUGAUGGGCUUUGGCAUGAUCAGGAGAAGGCACUCAACUUGGUUUCAACAUCAGAAGGGAGAGAGAAGAGUGGAGGGGACAUCUUGUGUUUCAGAUUUUCAGAAAACUUCCCAAAGGAUUGGUAUUUGGAUUACCUAUGCUGAUGGGGAGCUGGCAUACUUUGGAAAUCUUUGGGCUGCUGAGAACAAAGAAGAGCAUGGCAAAUUGUUGCUGUAGCAUCAGAAAAUUGUCAGUACCACAGACAGAUAUCAGAGGGAGCAACAGACUGUAAGCUCUUGAAAAAGAAACUGGCAAACCUCUCCUUUUGGGAAAUUACACGCAUGAGCCC